rnacentral:rRNA from 1 species
UACGAAGGGGGCUAGCGUUGCUCGGAAUCACUGGGCUUAAAGGGCGCGUAGGCGGCUUGCCAAGUCAGUGGUGAAAUCCUGCAGCUUAACUGCAGAAGUGCCUUUGAUACUGGCGAGCUGGAGGGAGGUAGGGGUAUGUGGAACUUCUGGUGGAGCGGUGAAAUGCGUUGAUAUCAGAAGGAACGCCGGUGGCGAAAGCGACGUACUGGACCUCUUCUGACGCUGAGGCGCGAAAGCUAGGGGAGCAAACGGG